GAACGGCCGUCCGGGAAUACACUUUUCGCCAGUGCACAGUGCGUAACAGCACGGUCCAUCGAUAGUACAUCUGAUAAUAAUAAACGUAACGGAAUUGUAAUAAUAAUAAUAUUAUUAUCGUUCAUACACACACACGCGCGCGCAUCCGAUUCGGCACGAAUCUACACCCGUAAUAAUAAUAUUAUUUAUUAUCAUGGUAUCGUGUCCGGUAUUGUCGUCGUGCGUACGGUAUCACGUAUGCUAUUAUGAAAAUAUAAUAUAAACAGUAAAUUACUGCGAAAAUAAUAAUCCGAUAAUAAUAUUAUUACUAUUACCUAUUAUUAAUAUACUGAUAACGUGCGUUAACAGCCGCCGUCGAUGGUGUCCGCGACACCGAAAGCGUU